UCGAACCUGUGUUUUCAUGGAUACUAGAACAGUGGCUCUUUUCUUUAUGUCACAACCUGGUGUCCUUAGGGAGCCUGAAAGCUCUGAUGAAGACAGGGAACCCUUGGGGCACCUGUGUGCCAUAAUUCUCAAAACCAAUUCUCAUAAUUCCCCUGCACACUGCGGGGCUGAGGAGGCUGACAGUCCGCACCUGGAAUCCAAUGUGUACCCUCCUUUCCUCUGCCUGAUGGAAAGCCCAGCGAUGCCUUAAUAGGCUUUGAUCAAUAUUAGGCGAUGCUGGUGACACCAGCUCUGCCUUGCAUGGCAGCAGUAUGUAAGCCAGCCACUUAAUUUUCAGAUGCAUCAAAGCUUCCACGGCUUGCUCUGCAACCGAGAUGGACCACCGGAAGGAAGGUGGGCAUGAAGUGGGCACUGAGCAUGGGCGGAAGGAAGUUCCCAGCGACCUCAGGGAGGAAGCGCUGCCCGUCUUUCUGAGCGUCUGUCCUGCCCUCUCUUGAGUAUUUGGAGGUAAAGCUACAACAGGGAGGCAGGGAAGGGUUUCAAGUUAGACUCUUUGGACGCGCUGACCUGCGUUCUCGCCUACCGUGGCCAGGAGGGAUUGCAACUCGAUGUCCAGCGUCUGUAGGCUGCGCUUCAUUUCGGUCAGCUCGCUCCUGGCGGAGGUGGCGGCGCCUGCGUCGUCGGAGAUCUGCUGCUGCAGGGUGGCGCUCUGCAGGCGGGACGCGCGGGAGUUAGCGGGUCUGUCCCCGCAGGGUGGGUGGGCGUGGGAGGUGGACCUCCGGGCUGGCUGGGCGACUCUCACCUUUUCGUGGAACCCGGCCUCCGCAUCCCUGCGGUUCUGCUCGGCCAGGGCUUCGUACUCCGCCCGCAUGUUUUUCAGCAGAACCGUGAGGUCCACGCCGGGCGCCGCGUUCAACUCCACGUUCACGUUGCCUCCGGCCGCGCAUUGCAGCGCCCUCAUCUCCUGCGGGGGAAACGUGGGCGAGACCCCAGAGCCGUGACCUGCGCUCCUGUUACUUUAUAUCUCCAAGUUUGUGGUUUAACUUCGAGUUGUCUAAGGUCAGCAUUUGCCUCCUCCAGAGCUCGCACGUUAUCCAGGUAGGAUGCCAGGCGGUCAUUGAGAUUCUGCAUAGUCACCUUCUCAUUCCCAGAGAGGAGGCCCCCCUCACUUCCAGCAAAGCCAGCACAAGCAGCACUUCCAAGGGUACCACCAGCAUGGCUCCCGACAGAAGCACUGCCCAGGCCCCCUCCCAAAGCAUUGGAGAAUCCACUUCCAGCACUAGAGCUGCUGCAUAUAUUGCUGCUUGCAAAGCCAGUGCCUCCACUGGAUGGUCUGAGAGAUCCAGCGCCAGACCGUAAGCAAAUAUGCCUGGACCCACUGGAAAAUCGGAGAGACAUGGUAGCGUGAGAAAUGUUUGCCUUGUCUGUGGGCAGCUGUAACGUCAAAGGAGAACAGAACAUUGUGUGCUGAGGGUUUACUCUGGGCUUUUAUACACAAUUAUUGGGGUGUCACAGUUGGAGUUGUGCGCGCCAAAAGAAAAAAAGGCACCGUUCAGAUAAGCAUGAAAUUAUGUAUCAUUGGGUGACUUUUGGGGGGCGGGGCGGUAAAUGAAUGUCUACCAUCCUGGCUGUUGCUGUAGGAUAUUUGUUAUCUUCAGUAUAAUAAGGUUCCUGCUAUAUUCAGGUCAUUAUUUUAACUUCUCAUGUGGGGUGAGUCAUCCUUUACUUUCAUCUAGACCCUAGGACUAUACCAUCAUUAUCUGGCACAAGUUAUUAUAAAGUUUUGAAAGUUUAGUAAGAUUAAAGUCUCAAAAUUAAAGAAGCGGUAAGGUGCCAUCAGCUGCAGUAGGGUCUUAAUUACCAGAGAAUUAUAUAAAGCAUCGUUAACUACAGAAACACAUUUCAUCCCACCACAGCAAAAACACCGUGGUAACGACUUUGGUCUUAGCAUGAUUACGACUAUUCCUUACCUGGAACAAUAACAUAAGUAUUGACUGAUUCCUAUAUUUAACAUGUAUGGCUACGAUGUUUGGGGUUCAGUGGUAAAUGUAAAAAUAAAGACGUGGUGCUCCAUAACUGCA